UGGCGAACGGGUGAGUAACGCGUGAGUAACCUGCCUUUCAGUGGGGGACAACAGAGGGAAACUUCUGCUAAUACCGCAUAACGUGCCUUGGGGGCAUCCCUGGGGUACCAAAGAUUUAUUGCUGAAAGAUGGGCUUGCGUCUGAUUAGAUAGUUGGCGGGGUAACGGCCUACCAAGGCGACGAUCAGUAGCCGGCCUGAGAGGGUGAACGGCCACAUUGGGACUGAGACACGGCCCAAACUCCUACGGAAGGCAGCAG
rnacentral:rRNA from 1 species